GACAGAGGAUGCAAGCGUUAUCCGGAAUGAUUGGGCGUAAAGCGUCUGUAGGUGGCUUUUUAAGUCCGCCGUCAAAUCCCAGGGCUCAACCCUGGACAGGCGGUGGAAACUACCAAGCUGGAGUACGGUAGGGGCAGAGGGAAUUCCCGGUGUAGAGGUGAAAUUCGUAGAUAUCGGGAGGAACACCAGUGGCGAAGGCGGCGACCUGGACGGACACUGACGCUGAGACGCGAAAGCGUGGGGAGCAAACAGG
rnacentral:rRNA from 1 species